CCCUGCGAGUUCCAGGAGUGAAACUCCGGCAGACCACACGGGUCCGGAAAGACGAAAGUUUACACCUAGAGGAGGGUAUUACGCCUGGUGGUCAUCCCGUGUCCCAAGGAAACCCACGA